AUGACAAGAAUCACUGUCAUUAUUACAAAGGCAUGGCCAGGAGUAGGGUGACAGCUCACGGCCGUCCAUGGCUUAGAGAGGGCCCAGACAGAAUUUGCCACCAGCACACAUUUCUCUGUGGGGGUUUUUUGAAAGUGUGUGUGUGUGUGUGUGUGUGUGUGUGUGUACAGGUGUGUGUCAUCAUAUAACUCAUGCUGAUUAAGUGUUUAAUUGGCAUCAUACUUGGGACUUGAGUAAGAGUCACCCAGCACCAAACUGUGAAAUUUGGGGAUAGCACACUGUGGCUGGGUCUCGCUUUCGGGGGGCUCACCCUCAGGGGGGGGCAGCUGGUACACCACGAAGAGGGAGGAGUACAGGCAGCCCACGAAUGACAUCAGGCUUGAAAAGUACAUCACUCCCUGGGCCCCACCCACCAGUGAAGUCAGAGGUCCCAUCGCCACUGAGACCAGGAUCUGAGCCAGGAAAUACUGGCAGCUGAGCAGAGAGAUGUCCACCCCCAUCCCUCGCCUGGUCCCUUCCUCUGAUGAGCCACAGAACUGGGGAACAGAUGCAGGAACUUCUCAAUUAGUCAAUCAAUGCGGUCCAACACAAAUUAACACUGCAUUAAAGGAAUAGCUCAACCCCCAUGCUAAUUUUUCAGGUUUAUACCUUAAAUUUUGGUGUCUACUAGGAAAAGUUUAAUGCUUUAUUA